GACGAACGCUGGCGGCGUGCUUAACACAUGCAAGUCGAACGGGGACUAUAUAACGGAAGCUUUCGGGUGGAAGACUUAUAGUUCUAGUGGCGGACGGGUGAGUAACGCGUGAGGAACCUGCCCUAAAGUGGGGAAUAACAACGAGAAAUCGUUGCUAAUACCGCAUAAGACCACAGAAUCACAUGAUUCAGGGGUCAAAGAUUUAUCGCUUUAGGAUGGCCUCGCGUCCCAUUAGCUAGUUGGUAGGGUAAUGGCCUACCAAGGCGACGAUGGGUAGCCGAGCUGAGAGGCUGAUCGGCCACACUGGGACUGAGACACGGCCCAGACUCCUACGGGAGGCAGCAGUGGGGAAUAUUGGGCAAUGGGCGAAAGCCUGACCCAGCAACGCCGCGUGAAGGAAGAAGGUCUUCGGAUUGUAAACUUUUGUUCUUGGGGACGAAAAAUGACGGUACCCAAGGAGGAAGCCCCGGCUAACUACGUGCCAGCCGCCGCCGUAACACCUGAGACUACCAAGGCACACA
rnacentral:rRNA from 2 species